CGUCGGUUCCAAAUUUAACUUGUCGGCUCCACCGCAAGACCAAAAUAUCCUUUUCCCGAACCUAACACGCCCUUAUUCCAAACUAGUCACUAAAACAAAUGGAGUGAGCGGCACUCAUGCAGUGACUUGAUGCAUGAGAAAGUGCCACUCCACUCUCACGGCGAUCUGUCAUGCUCGAGUGUCAGUUCAUAUUCGAGCAGUUUGAACCGGUUCGUUCCUCAGGCUCCAACUCACAGGUGUCGCCCAAAUAACAGAGUACAGGCAGAUUCCGAUUUUAAAAACACGGAAAGCAUAGAUUUGCAUUAGUAUGCAAAUCUUUGAUUCCCUAUAAAUAGGCUAGCAUUCCAUAAUGCAGCUCUCUUUUCUGGUGAUUUCUGAAAGAAAUAGUAGUGCGCGCGUGUGUAGUGUUUUCGUCCGAUGUCGAGGAUAAAAUAAGAAUGUUAGUUCGACCUACUAGCUACGUUAAUGUUAGUAUGGUUAAAAAGUGUUAGUCGUGGUAAAAAUCAUGCAGAAAAUCCUGUGAAAUUCUAAAAGAAAAACUACCAGACAACAACAAACACGUUAAAACAACAAGAAAAAGGUAACCUAUAUUGUAUAAUUGUGAAAAGUGUGUCAGGUCGUAAGGAAUGUGACGUCACAGGGGUCUAAUUUGUGGUUAGGUCCAAGGAUUGGGCCUUUUUCUUUGCUUUGAGCUUUUUCCCAGCAGACGGUACCGCCUCGAUGGCCAGAGCGACGGUGACGGCCAAACCACCUAGAAUCGCCUUCGAACCGUUAGAAGCGCGAAACACCAGCGCGCUCUCCGCCAGAAACCCCCCCCCUCCCUUUUGGGAGUAGGAGAUAUACGAAACCAUGCUUGUUACGUCGCUGGCUACCAUCGUCGACCGCCGUAUGCUGUGGGUUCAACAGGAGCCGCCAUAUUGGUUCCCAGUGGCCGGCUUUGCCACGAUUUUUCGGCGUUCGCUGCCGAAAAUCAUGUUCCGGCUACCUCAUCAACUCCGGUGGCCGCCAUCUUACUACCUCCGUGGUCCGUGGGCUCCAAACGGCACUCGAAGAGCUCCAGACGUUCCCGAACUACCGGCUGGCGAUAACAAAACCGCAAGUACAAACCCCCUAAAAGUGACGUCAUUUCAAUAAAAUGUAAAAUUGUAAAUAGGAGCCACAGUGGUAGCUUAUUUCGAGAGCAUAGCCCUGGGUUAAGAUUUUUCCACCACUUUUUGCUAUUUUUCGCUUUGUCGGGCUCGAAAGGAGCCACCAAGCCUCGUCUUUCGGGAAUUCACCAAUUUUGUAUCAGAUUUUAUGCUUUUUGUAUUUCCUGAAUGUAAUUCGUAUAUUUGUGAAACACUGGUGAGUAAGUGUAGUCUAUUGUACCGGUCCUGCUGUUAUGUUCGUCCUCCUUGAAAGAUGUGAGAGCCAAGUCAUGCUCAACGACCCUGAAGAACCACAAUCCCUGAGCCACCGAGUUACAAAUUGGCGCCCAACGAAAAAUGACAGAAAGCUUUCAUUUUCUCCCCCGGAGGGGACGAGAAA